rnacentral:lncRNA from 1 species
UCCCGUCUUACUAUUGGAUCACUUCUACCCUUCCGUUUAACGGAAUAAGAUGUGACAUCCAAUGUGUAAAUUAUAAUGCCACAUAAACGUCCACCUAAGCAGAUCUAUCCCUACCCGUUAAAAGGCCCAGGAGAUUGAACACCAAAACAUUCAUUAUCAUAGCGGAACCCCAUUCUCUCCGGCGAACAAGACUGAACACUGGAGUUAUAAGUUAUAACAAUUAAUUAUCUCAUCCGAAAAAUGAAUUUCCCUUGUCACCGGAGAUGUUGACAGAACACUGGUGAUAAAAUCGUUAUUUCUUUCAUCCGAAUAAAGGAUGUCCAUUGUC